GGUAAACGCUGGCGGCGCACAUAAGACAUGCAAGUCGAACGAACUUAAUACUUUAGUUUACUAUAGUAAGCGGUUAGUGGCGGACUGGUGAGUAAUGCAUAAGCAACCUGCCUAUAAGAAGGGAAUAACAGUGAGAAAUCACUGCUAAUACCGUAUAAGCUGUGAGUAUGGCAUCAUACAAACAGAAAAAGGAGCAAUCCGCUUAUAGAUGGGCUUAUGUCUGAUUAGCUAGUUGGAAGGGUAACGGCCUACCAAGGCGAUGAUCAGUAGCCGGACUGAGAGGUUGAACGGCCACAUUGGGACUGAGAUACGGCCCAG
rnacentral:rRNA from 1 species